rnacentral:rRNA from 1 species
GACGAACGCUGGCGGCGUGCCUAACACAUGCAAGUCGAACGGGGUCAGUUGCUUCGGUGAUUGACUUAGUGGCGAACGGGUGAGUAACGCGUGGGUAACCUGCCUCACACAGGGGGAUAACAGUUAGAAAUGACUGCUAAUACCGCAUAAGACCACAGUACCGCAUGGUACAGUGAUAAAAACUCCGGUGGUGUGAGAUGGACCCGCGUCUGAUUAGCUAGUUGGUGAGGUAACGGCUCACCAAGGCGACGAUCAGUAGCCGACCUGAGAGGGUGACCGGCCACAUUGGGACUGAGACACGGCCCAAACUCCUACGGGAGGCAGCAGUGGGGAAUAUUGCACAAUGGGCGAAAGCCUGAUGCAGCGACGCCGCGUGAACGGAUGAAGUAUUUCGGUAUGUAAACUUCUAUCAGCAGGAGAAAUGACGGUACCUGACUAAGAAGCCCCGGNUAACUACGUG